UCCCUGGUGGUCCAGUGGCUACGACUCUGCACUCCUAAUGCAGGUGACCUGGGUUCAAAUCCUGGUCAGGGAA